rnacentral:tRNA from 1 species
CCAGUGGAGCAGUUGGGAGCGCGCGUGAAUGGCAUUCACGAGGUCACGGGUUCGACCCCCGUCUGGUCCACCA